rnacentral:lncRNA from 1 species
GCGGGCAAAUCCGCGCCCAAAAAUAACCGCCCGAAGGCCGGGGCUCCAAGUUUGUCCAGUGGAAAAAGGCCACAAAAACGGGUGGGCUAUAGCCUUGGGGGGUGGGGCUGGCCAACUUCGUCCGCCGGACUCGGAAUGGCGCGAGACUUUGCGAGGCGCCUCCGUGUGCCAAAAGUAGGCCGCGGGCAAAGCCGCGCCCAAAAAUAACCGCCCGAAGGCCGGGGCGCCAAGUUCGUCCAGCGGAAAAAGGCCACAAAAACGGGUGGGCUAUAGCCUUGGGGGGUGGGGCUGGCCAACUUCGUCCGCCGGACUCGGAAUGGGGCGAGACAUUGCAAGGCACCUCCGUGAGCCAAAAAUAGGCCGCGGACACAGCCGCGCCCAAAAAUAACUGCCCGAAGGCCGGGGCGCCAAGUUUGUCCAGCGGAAAAAGGCCACAAAAACGGGUGGGCUAUAGCGUUGGGGGGUGGGGCUGGCCUACUUCGUCCGCCGGACUCGGAAUGGCGCGAGACUUUACGAGGUGCCUCCGUUUGCCAAAAGUAGGCCGCGGCCAAAGCCGCGCCCAAAAAUAACCGCCCGAAGG